rnacentral:rRNA from 1 species
UGCAGUCGAGCGGACAGAUGGGGAGCUUGCUCCCUGAUGUUAGCGGCGGACGGGUGAGUAACACGUGGGUAACCUGCCUGUAAGACUGGGAUAACUCCGGGAAACCGGGGCUAAUACCGGAUGGUUGUUUGAACCGCAUGGUUCAAACAUAAAAGGUGGCUUCGGCUACCACUUACAGAUGGACCCGCGGCGCAUUAGCUAGUUGGUGAGGUAACGGCUCACCAAGGCAACGAUGCGUAGCCGACCUGAGAGGGUGAUCGGCCACACUGGGACUGAGACACGGCCCAGACUCCUACGGGAGGCAGCAGUAGGGAAUCUUCCGCAAUGGACGAAAGUCUGACGGAGCAACGCCGCGUGAGUGAUGAAGGUUUUCGGAUCGUAAAGCUCUGUUGUUAGGGAAGAACAAGUACCGUUCGAAUAGGGCGGUACCUUGACGGUACCUAACCAGAAAGCCACGGCUAACUACGUGCCAGCAGCCGCGGUAAUACGUAGGUGGCAAGCGUUGUCCGGAAUUAUUGGGCGUAAAGGGCUCGCAGGCGGUUUCUUAAGUCUGAUGUGAAAGCCCCCGGCUCAACCGGGGAGGGUCAUUGGAAACUGGGGAACUUGAGUGCAGAAGAGGAGAGUGGAAUUCCUCGUGUAGCGGUGAAAUGCGUAGAGAUGUGGAGGA